CACGCAGGCGGUAAGGCAAGUCUGGUGUGAAAGCCCCAUCACUCAACGAGGGGAGCGCACCGGAAACUGUUUUACUUGAGUACAGGAGAGGAAAACGGAAUUCCACGUGUAGCGGUGGAAUGCGGAGAUAUGUGGAAGAACACCGGUGGCGAAGGCGGUUUUCUGGCCUGAUACUGACGCUGAGGUGCGAAAGCCAGGGUAGCGAACG
rnacentral:rRNA from 1 species